AUACGGAGGAUGCAAGCGUUAUCCGGAUUUAUUGGGUUUAAAGGGUGCGCAGGCGGCCAUUUAAGUCAGCGGUUAAAUCGUGGGGCUCAACCCCAUUCUGCCGUUGAUACUGGGUGGCUUGAUUGCGGUCGAGGUUGGCGGAAUUCGUUGUGUAGCGGGGAAAUGCAUAGAUAUGACGAAGAACACCGAUUGCGUAGGCAGCUGACCAGACCGCAAAUGACGCUCAUGCACGAAAGUGCGGGGAUCGAACAGGAUUAGAUACCCUGGUAGUCCGCACAGUAAACGAUGAAUACUUGUUUUCGGCGAUAUAAUGUCGGAGGCAAAGCGAAAGCGAUAAGUAUUCCACCUGGGGAGUACGACCGCAAGGUUGAAACUCAAAGGAAUUGACGGGG
rnacentral:rRNA from 1 species